UUAACUCAUAUUUGUAUGGAAUGGGAUCGUUUGCGUACGUUUGUCGCUAGGGGCGCUGUUCCAACUGCAUACAAAAUUGGCUUA
rnacentral:pre_miRNA from 1 species